rnacentral:snRNA from 1 species
UGAAGUCUCGAGUUCGAAUCCCUCAGCUAACCAAUUAUGCAGAGAGAAGAUUAGCAUGGCCCCUGCACUAAGGAUGACACGCUCAAUCAAAGAGAAGCUUACAAUUUUU